ensembl:scaRNA
AUUUUGGAGUCAGAGGCAGGUGGAUCUCUGUGAGUUUGAGGCCAGCCUGAUCUACAUAGUGACUUCCAGACCAACUGGGGCUACUAGGGAGACCCUGUCUCAAAACCAAACAAAUUUUAAAAAAGAUCAUACUGUUGCCAUGACGAUAAUGUCUGUGCAGUGGCAUUAUCUAUCUAGCAACAGUAAGAGAAGCUUUGCAGUAAGGAUACCAUUUAGCAGAUGGAGUUGUUUCUGUUGGACACUAAGUACUGCUACAAAA